AGUCUAUAUAUAAUUAAAAUAUAUUAUAUUUAUAUAUUUUUUAAUAUAUAUAUAUAUAUAUAUAGAGUAAGGCUACUAUACUCUUAUGAGCAUUGGGCCCUUUGUACUCAUAAGUUGUUUUUGAUGAUGGGGCUUCUGAAUCAACUAUUCACUCUGUUAAAUAUAAUCUAGAGUAUUUGAAACUUCUAGAAAAUAAAUUUCGUAAUUUUUCAAAAUCAGAAUAAAAUUCAUCAAGCGAGUAUAAAAUGAACGGUCAAAAUCAAACGACGUCCUAAAAAUGGAUGAUGGGAUCCUUCAAUUUAAGAUCGGAGUUAUUGAUCUUUAUCUAGGUAGUGAAUAUAAUUUUCUAUCAAAAAUUCAACCUAUUCCGAUUCUUUUAUACCGUUAAACUAGCAAGUAUCUCAUACCGGCCGUUAAAAGUUGUCAAUUUUGUGAGCUUUUGAUCGUUAGGUAAAUGAUGUAAAAAAAUUAUGAAAUUUGAUUUCUAGAUGUUUUAAAUACUCUAGAUAAUGUUUAACGGUAUGGAUCGUCGAUUCGGAAGCUCUAUCAUCGAAAACAACUUAUGAGUACGAUGACGAUCGUAGUCAUAAGAGUAUAGUAGCCGGACUCUAUAUAUAUAUAUAGAGUGCGGCUAGGAUGCUUAUGGAAGCACGGAGGGCUCCGUGCUUCCACUUUGUUUUCGAUGUUCGGACUUUCGAAUCGAAGAUCGGCUCCGUUAGACUUAAUCUAGAGUAUUUGAAGUAUCUAGAAAAUAAAUUUUGCGAUUUGUCGAUAUCAUUUGCCUAGUGAUCGAAGUGGCUCAAAAUCAACGGUUGAAAAUAAAAAUCUUACAAAAUAUGAUGAUAUGACAUUAAAAUUUUAGAUCAAAGUUAUUGAUCUUGUUUUAUAUGGUAUAAAGAAUUUUCUAUCAAAAUUUCAUGUG
rnacentral:lncRNA from 1 species